AGCACUUGCCUGGAUGCUUUGGCCAAGGAAAGAGUACCGCAGAACAAUCCCUGGCAUUUCUCAAGUGCCCUGGACUCGGCCUGCUAGCAAUACAUCUAAGUCCUGAUUAGUGAAAAUCACAAAUCCCAUGAAGUCAUCACCUUGUUCAAAUUCACACUAUUAGCUGAUUGGUUCCAGCCUUAUGAAAAUAUGCAAUGAAAUCUAUGAAAAUAAGUUUUUAAUCUUUUUUUAAUGUGACAUAAUAACAAAGAAAAUAUAUUUUAGAUUCAUAUUUAUUACAAAAUAAUAGAGAAGCAAUAGAAAGCAAAAAAUUUUCAAUGAUUGAAUAUCAUGCCUAAAGAUAAGCCUAUUCUCAGGAUAUAACAGAAAUGUCAUUAUUGUCAUUGUAAAAAUAUUUUGGCAGCAUAGAGACUGAAUUAUCUUCUCUUUCUGUAAUUUUUUGUACACAUGCUGAUAAAUGCAAAGAGUUUUUCCUA